GACGAACGCUGGCGGCGUGCUUAACACAUGCAAGUCGAACGGAAAGGCCCUGCUUUUGUGGGGUGCUCGAUUGGCGAACGGGUGAGUAACACGUGAGUAACCUGCCCUUGACUUUGGGAUAACUUCAGGAAACUGGGGCUCAUACCGGAUAGGAGCUCCUGCUGCAUGGGGGUGGUUGGAAAGUUCCGGCGGUUGGGGCUGGUUUCGCGGCUUAUCGGCUUGUUGGUGGAGUAGUGGCUUACCAAGGCUUUGACGGGUAGGCGGCCUGAGAGGGUGACCGGCCACAAUGGGCCUGAGAUACGGCGCAGACUCCUACGUGAGGCAGCAGUGGGGAGUAUGGCAGAAUGGGCGGAAGCCUGAUGCGGCAGCGCCGCGUGCGGGAUGACGGCCUUCGGGUUGUAAACCGCUUUCGCCUGUGACGAGGCGUGAGUGACGGUAAUGAGUAAAGAAGCACCGGCUAACUACGUG
rnacentral:rRNA from 1 species